ACAGAGGGGGCAAGCGUUGUUCGGAAUUACUGGGCGUAAAGGGCGCGUAGGCGGCCUUCUAAGUCGAACGUGAAAUCCCCGGGCUUAACCUGGGAACAGCGUUUGAAACUGGGGAGCUUGAGUGUGGAAGAGGGGGGUGGAAUUCCAGGUGUAGCAGUGAAAUGCGUAGAGAUCUGGAGGAACACCGAUGGCGAAGGCAGCCCCCUGGGCUAACACUGACGCUCAUGCACGAAAGCGUGGGGAGCAAACAGGA
rnacentral:rRNA from 1 species